rnacentral:misc_RNA from 1 species
AAAAAACUGGUUUGUCAUAUGUUUGGAUAAAAAAUAAAAUUUCACUCUUAUCAAAUUCUUGUACUGUGAUGUCACUCAUGACCAGCAUUACGCCAUUGACAAAACUUUGUCGUGUUGAUUAAUAAAACUAUUAUAGGCUAGUUAUAGUUAAUUUGGAUGUAUCUGCCUUUUAGAGUUAUCAAGAUAUCCUCAGUUAGAUUAUUAUGACACAGUGGUAUCCAUUAACCCAUUAUUUGUGUUGCCAUUCAAAGAGUAAGAGAGAUGCUAUUCAGUGGGAAUUGUCGUUUUUAUGAUUUAGAGUUAUUUAUGCUAUUGAAUAUGUUGCUUUCUGAGGCAGUGAAGCUUUUCAAAUAAUUUCAAGUGGUUCCUUUCGUUGCCUACAAUUAAGUGCAUUACAAGUACUAUAUACAUGUAUAUAUAUAUGAAAUAAUCUAGUUUUCCUAUUCUACCUGAAU